GCCUGGGUGGCUCAGUCGGUUAAGUGUCUGACUUCAGCUCAGGUCAUGAUUUCACAGUUUGUGGGUUUGAGUCCUGCAUCGGGCU
rnacentral:tRNA from 1 species